AUUGAACGCUGGCGGCAUGCCUUACACAUGCAAGUCGAACGGUAACGGGCCUUCGGGUGCCGACGAGUGGCGAACGGGUGAGUAAUACAUCGGAACGUGCCCGAUCGUGGGGGAUAACGAGGCGAAAGCUUUGCUAAUACCGCAUAUGAUCUACGGAUGAAAGCAGGGGACCGCAAGGCCUUGCGCGGACGGAGCGGCCGAUGGCAGAUUAGGUAGUUGGUGGGAUAAAAGCUUACCAAGCCGACGAUCUGUAGCUGGUCUGAGAGGAUGAUCAGCCACACUGGGACUGAGACACGGCCCAGACUCCUACGGGAGGCAGCAGUGGGGAAUUUUGGACAAUGGGCGCAAGCCUGAUCCAGCCAUGCCGCGUGCAGGAUGAAGGCCUUCGGGUUGUAAACUGCUUUUGUACGGAACGAAAAGCCUUCUUUUAAUACAGGAGGGUCAUGACGGUACCGUAAGAAUAAGCACCGGCUAACUACGUG
rnacentral:rRNA from 1 species